GAUGAAGGAGGCCUCAUUUGUCUGGGUUACAAAAUUUAUUCAGAUUUAAGUUAGACAUUUAGUGAAUACAAAUGUCUUUCAUCAACAAAGCAGCAAUCCUGAAGAAUAUGAUUUGGACUCUGCUACAUUAUGUUCAAGGCUUCGGUAGAAAUCUCUCUUUUGUCACAACACAUUGUCAAAAACAGCAGAGGAAGAACAAAAGUGUUUGAGUAACUAUGCCUGAUUUGCAUAGAGUUAGAACUGCACACGCGUCUAUUUAAAGUCAAAUAACUUCACACGUGUGAAUAUCUUUCAUGCUACCCUGAGCUUUUGCACCUUAGAAAAACUGUUCUGUAGAAAUAUUCUUUUACUAUAUCAGGGUUUGUUUGUUGUUUUGUUUUGUUUUGUUUUUUUCCCUUCUUUAUAUGUCAUACUAGUUUGAAAUGCAGCUCAUUUAUAAUCUUGUUCCUGCACACAUUCUGUCAAUUCAGUCUCCUAUCUAGGA